rnacentral:rRNA from 1 species
AAUGAUGGAAUGACUCUCGGCAACGGAUAUCUCGGCUCUCGCAUCGAUGAAGAACGUAGCGAAAUGCGAUACGUGGUGUGAAUUGCAGAAUCCCGUGAACCAUCGAGUUUUUGAACGCAAGUUGCGCCCGAGGCCAUUCGGCUGAGGGCACGCCUGCCUGGGCGUCAGUU